GUCAAAAAUGCAGAUGCCUGGGCCCACUUGAGAUCACUAAAUCAGAAUCUAUGAGUGGGGAGUCCAGGAAUCUGUAUUUUAAACAAAUAUCUC
rnacentral:miRNA from 1 species